ACUCCUACGGGAGGCAGCAGUGAGGAAUUUUCCGCAAUGGGCGAAAGCCUGACGGAGCAAUGCCGCGUGGAGGAUGAAGGCCCGUGGGUUGUAAACUCCUUUUCUUAGAGAAGAAGUCCUGACGGUAUCUAAGGAAUAAGCAUCGGCUAACUCCGUGCCAGCAGCCGCGGUAAU
rnacentral:rRNA from 1 species